UACGGGGGGAGCAAGCGUUGUUCGGAUUUACUGGGCGUAAAGGGCGCGUAGGCGGCCACCGCAAGUCGGUUGUGAAAUCUCCGGGCUUAACCCGGAAAGGUCAAUCGAUACUGCGGGGCUAGAGUGCAGAAGGGGCAACUGGAAUUCUCGGUGUAGCGGUGAAAUGCGUAGAGAUCGUAAGGAAGACCAGUGGCGAAGGCGGGUCUCUGGACAGUUCCUGACACUGAGGCACGAAGGCCAGGGGAGCAAACGGG
rnacentral:rRNA from 1 species